rnacentral:rRNA from 1 species
ACGAACGCUGGCGGCGUGCCUAAUACAUGCAAGUAGAACGCUGAAGGAGGAGCUUGCUUCUCUGGAUGAGUUGCGAACGGGUGAGUAACGCGUAGGUAACCUGCCUGGUAGCGGGGGAUAACUAUUGGAAACGAUAGCUAAUACCGCAUAAUAGUAGAUGUCGCAUGACAUUUGCUUAAAAGGUGCAAUUGCAUCACUACCAGAUGGACCUGCGUUGUAUUAGCUAGUUGGUGAGGUAACGGCUCACCAAGGCAACGAUACAUAGCCGACCUGAGAGGGUGAUCGGCCACACUGGGACUGAGACACGGCCCAGACUCCUACGGGAGGCAGCAGUAGGGAAUCUUCGGCAAUGGACGGAAGUCUGACCGAGCAACGCCGCGUGAGUGAAGAAGGUUUUCGGAUCGUAAAGCUCUGUUGUAAGAGAAGAACGAGUGUGAGAGUGGAAAGUUCACACUGUGACGGUAUCUUACCAGAAAGGGACGGCUAACUACGUG